AUUAAAGUGGCAGAGUAGUGCCUUAGAUUUAAGCUCUAAAAAUAGAUAUUUUAUCUCUUUAAUA
rnacentral:tRNA from 1 species